rnacentral:rRNA from 1 species
UACGUAGGGGGCUAGCGUUGUCCGGAAUCAUUGGGCGUAAAGCGCGUGUAGGCGGCCCGGUAAGUCCGCUGUGAAAGUCGGGGGGCUCAACCCUCGGAUGCCGGUGGAUACUGUCGGGCUAGAGUCCGGAAGAGGCGAGUGGAAUUCCCGGUAUAGCGGUGAAAUGCGCAGAUAUCGGGAGGAACACCAAUGGCGAAGGCAGCUCGCUGGGACGGUACUGACGCUGAGACGCGAAAGCGUGGGGAGCAAACAGGG